GACGAACGCUGGCGGCGUGCUUAACACAUGCAAGUCGAACGGAAAGGCCCUGCUUUUGUGGGGUGCUCGAGUGGCGAACGGGUGAGUAACACGUGAGUAACCUGCCCUUGACUUUGGGAUAACUUCAGGAAACUGGGGCUAAUACCGGAUAGGAGCUCCUGCUGCAUGGUGGGGGUUGGAAAGUUUCGGCGGUUGGGGAUGGACUGGCGGCUUAUCAGCUUGGUGGUGGGGUAGUGGCUUACCAAGGCUUUGACGGGUAGCCGGCCUGAGAGGGUGACCGGCCACAUUGGGACUGAGAUACGGCCCAGACUCCUACGGGAGGCAGCAGUGGGGAAUAUUGCACAAUGGGCGGAAGCCUGAUGCAGCAACGCCGCGUGCGGGAUGACGGCCUUCGGGUUGUAAACCGCUUUCGCCUGUGACGAAGCGUGAGUGACGGUAAUGGGUAAAGAAGCACCGGCUAACUACGUG
rnacentral:rRNA from 1 species